CCCGACUGCUAUCAGAGUGAGAUUAAGCCAUGCGAGUUAACGUAGCAAUACGUGGCGCACGGCUCAGUAACACGUAGUCAACAUGCCCAGAGGACGUGGAUAACCUCGGGAAACUGAGUCUAAACCGCGAUAAGUGAGGAUUUCUGGAAUGGUUCCUGACUAAAAUCUAUAUGGCCUCUGGAUUGGACUGCGGCCGAUCAGGCUGUUGGUGAGGUAAUGGCCCACCAAACCUGUAACCGGUACGGGCUCUGAGAGGAGGAGCCCGGAGAUGGGCACUGAGACAAGGGCCCAGGCCCUAUGGGGCGCAGCAGGCGCGAAACCUCUGCAAUAGGCGAAAGCCUGACAGGGUUACUCUGAGUGACUUUCGCUAAGAAAGUCUUUUGGUACCUCUAAAAAGGGUGCAGAAUAAGGGGUGGGCAA
rnacentral:rRNA from 1 species